GACGAACGCUGGCGGCGUGCUUAACACAUGCAAGUCGAACGGAGUGGCGAACGGGUGAGUAACACGUGGGUGAUCUGCCUUGCACUUCGGGAUAAGCUUGGGGAACUGGGUCUAAUACCGGAUAGUGCAAGAUGAGCUCGCGGCCUAUCAGCUGGUGGGUGGGGUAAUGGCCUACCUAGGCGUCGCCGGGUAGGCGGCCUGAGAGGGUGUACGGCCACAUUGGGACUGAGAUACGGCGCAGACUGCUACGGGAGGCAGUAGUGGGGAGUAUUGCACAAUGGGCGGAAGCCCGAUGUAGGGGCGCAGCGUGGGGGAGGAAGGAAUUCGGGUUGUAAACUACUUUCGACAGGGUUGCGGUACCUGUAUAAGAAGCACCGGCUAACUACGUGCCAGCAGCCGCGGUAAUUC
rnacentral:rRNA from 1 species